rnacentral:rRNA from 1 species
UACAGAGGUCUCGAGCGUUGUUCGGAUUCAUUGGGCGUAAAGGGUGCGUAGGUGGCGCUGUAAGUCAGGUGUGAAAUUUCGGAGCUUAACUCCGAAACUGCAUUUGAUACUGCGGUGCUUGAGGGACUGGAGAGGAGACUGGAAUUUACGGUGUAGCAGUGAAAUGCGUAGAGAUCGUAAGGAAGACCAGUGGCGAAGGCGGGUCUCUGGA